rnacentral:lncRNA from 1 species
CUUUCUUUGAAAUCCUGGAGUGGUCUUCAGGACCCCCUCGCCUUUCUUUCCUAGACCCCGGCAGUAGAAGUUGUUUGCUCUCGGUGGGAAGGCUGUGCCCAUGAUCCUCGCCCCAAUCGUCGAAUCCGAAGUGUCGAUCCGGGACAUGGCUUCGGACAUCUCUUCCUCCUGCGUGUCCGGCCAUGUCUCCCUCACUAUAGCACUCAUCACCUCGUCACUAGCCUCCCUCACCUUCGCCUAAUUGGAUAGGAAAAAAUAAUUAAUUAACAUUUUCACAUAUAUAUAAAUUUAAAAUUUAAAAUUUAAAAACGUAAAAUGACUUACAAUAUCCUCCUGGGAGUCAGGAUAUGCCUUCUCGUACGUAUAGACGUACGGGUUGACCUCUGGAUGUUCCCUGGCCGCCUCGUCCAUGAAGACAGCGAACGGUCUAGAACCGCCAUGAUGGUUCCUUGUGUUGCAUUGCCGGUUCUGAGAGUUCGCUCGGGAAACGGCUUUCAAAGAAAAAAAUAAAUUAUUAGUAAAAUAUUUAAAAACGGACGUACUUAAUGACUCAAAUAAAACUUAAAAUCAACAUAUAUACACAUGUACGUACCUAUAUAUAGCUCCACUUCUUAAUAAUGGACAGAUUUCAACAACACCCAAACUUUUUCUCCCGUUUGUUCUUCUCCCGUUUUCUUUUCUCAGAUGAGCUGCUGUCCAGAUCUGCGAAUAUAAAGAACUUUAGCUGACGAAAUUAAAAUUUCGUCGGCUAAAGAAAGUUUAAAGUCGUCGGCUAAAGUCACAGACUUUAGCCGACGAAAAAAAAUUCUUUAGCCGACGAAAAUAUAAUUUAGCCGACGAAGGAAAAUUUCGUCGGCUAAAGUGUACUUUAGCCGACGAAAAAUUGUUUCGUCGGCCUGUUUUUUUUUUUUCGUCGGCUAAAGUCUUUCUUCUGGUAGUGGUAUUGAUUAACUGUCCAGAAGUUGAAUACUGGAAAGACAUCCAUCUAUAUUGUCCAGACAUUCAAGGUGAUCUUGAGUACCACAACAGGGAGUUCGCAGAUUAUUUUAGCGGCUGGGUACGUAAUUUAAUUUUUCUGUACGUGUUUAUGUUUAUUGCAUAAUUAUCCAUAUUUACAGUUGAAUGGUUGGUUGCAGAUGAACCAUAUUCAAUUUGAUGGUCACCCAAAUUGGUCGCACGAACUAAGACUUCUAGCGAUGAAGCCGAUAAUGUCAAGAGUUUAUCCGAUGUGCAAGGUGAAUGGCGUGCAAUUUAUAUGCGAACAAAGAGACAGCAGAAGGAGAACACAGAAUUCUGGGGUCAUGGCACAUGGUGGGCGGAAUGGAGUUGACUAUUACGGUG